ACGAGCCCGGUGGACGUUUUGUGCAGGAAGUCACGGCGGGCAUCACGGACCCGCGCAUGUUUGCGGGCAACCUUCUUGCGCUGCUUGGCGCGAUUGCUCGACCCACGCUUCAUGCGCGCCAAGCGCUUCUGCUGGCGGCGCAAACCCCGUUCGUGCCGGGCAAGGUGACGCGGAUUCGCAAUCUUCUCUCCAGUGGAGAGGGUGGCGAAGUCCUUGAUACCCAGGUCAACACCGACGCUCUGGCCGGUCGGCAUGGCUGGUGCCGGAUCGGGCUGGUCGACACACAAAGUGGCGAACCAUCGGCCAUCGGGUUCGCGGGAGAUCACGACCAUCGUCGGGUCCAGCUCGGCAAGCUCAAUGUCGGGCCAGGACCAGGCCAGUCUCAGCGGAGCAGACGUUUUGGCCAGCCACAGGCCGUCGACCUUCAUGCGGAACGCCGACCGGGUGUAGUGCGCGCACUGACGUCCGUUGCGGGACUUGAACUUCGGGUACCGGGCACGGCCUUUGAAAAAGUUGCUGAAGGCGGUGUGCUGGUGUCGCAGCGUUUGCUGCAACGGCACCGACGACACCUCAUUCAGGAACGCCAGCUCAUCGG
rnacentral:antisense_RNA from 1 species